rnacentral:rRNA from 1 species
CCUACGGGUGGCAGCAGUGAGGAAUAUUGGUCAAUGGACGAGAGUCUGAACCAGCCAAGUAGCGUGAAGGAUGACUGCCCUAUGGGUUGUAAAUUUCUUUUAUAAAGGAAUAAAACGAGGCACGUGUGCCUUUUUGCAUGUACUUUAUGACUAAGGAUCGACUAACUCCGUGCCAGCAGCCGCGGUAAUACGGAGGAUCCGAGCGUUAUCCGGAUUUAUUGGGUGUAAAGGGAGCGUAGAUGGGUUGUUAAGUCAGAUGUGAAAGUUUGCGGCUCAACCAUAAAAUUGCAUGUGAUACUGGCAGUCUUGAGUACAGUUGAGGUAGGCGGAAUUCGUAGUGUAGCGGUGAAAUGCUUAGAUAUCACGAAGAACCCCAAUUGCGAAGGCAGCUUACUAAACUGUGACUGACAUUAAUGCGCGAAAGUGUGGGGAUCAAACAGGAUUAGAUACCCGGGUAGUC